AGACAGGCCUACGGGGGGCCUGGCUGAGGAGGCUCCGACCCUUCUGAAGGUGGAGGCGUCGUCUGCUGCGGUUUCGAAUACCGUCUUUGUCUU